UACGUAGGUGGCAAGCGUUGUCCGGAUUUACUGGGCGUAAAGAGCGCGCAGGCGGUCGUCCAAGUCGAAGGUGAAAGCCCCCGGCUCAACUGGGGAGGGUCAUUCGAUACUGUUCGACUCGAAGGCAGGAGAGGGAAGUGGAAUUCCGGGUGUAGUGGUGAAAUGCGUAGAUAUCCGGAGGAACACCAGUGGCGAAGGCGACUUUCUGGCCUGUUCUUGACGCUGAGGCGCGAAAGCUAGGGGAGCAAACGGG
rnacentral:rRNA from 1 species